rfam:Ictidomys tridecemlineatus contig095422, whole genome shotgun sequence.
GUGGCUGUGGCUCAGUGGUAGAGCACUCGCUUGGCACAUGUGAGACACUGGGUUCGAUCCUCAGCACCACA